AGUUUGAUCCUGGCUCAGGACGAACGCUGGCGGCGCGCCUAACACAUGCAAGUCGAACGAGCGAGAGAGAGCUUGCUUUCUCGAGCGAGUGGCGAACGGGUGAGUAACGCGUGAGGAACCUGCCUCAAAGAGGGGGACAACAGUUGGAAACGACUGCUAAUACCGCAUAAGCCCACAGGUCGGCAUCGACCAGAGGGAAAAGGAGCAAUCCGCUUUGAGAUGGCCUCGCGUCCGAUUAGCUAGUUGGUGAGGUAACGGCCCACCAAGGCGACGAUCGGUAGCCGGACUGAGAGGUUGAACGGCCACAUUGGGACUGAGACACGGCCCAGACUCCUACGGGAGGCAGCAGUGGGGAAUAUUGCACAAUGGGGGAAACCCUGAUGCAGCGACGCCGCGUGGAGGAAGAAGGUCUUCGGAUUGUAAACUCCUGUUGUUGAGGAAGAUAAUGACGGUACUCAACAAGGAAGUGACGGCUAACUACGUGCCAGCAGCCGCGGUAAAACGUAGGUCACAAGCGUUGUCCGGAAUUACUGGGUGUAAAGGGAGCGCAGGCGGGAAGACAAGUUGGAAGUGAAAUCUAUGGGCUCAACCCAUAAACUGCUUUCAAAACUGUUUUUCUUGAGUAGUGCAGAGGUAGGCGGAAUUCCCGGUGUAGCGGUGGAAUGCGUAGAUAUCGGGAGGAACACCAGUGGCGAAGGCGGCCUACUGGGCACCAACUGACGCUGAGGCUCGAAAGUGUGGGUAGCAAACAGGAUUAGAUACCCUGGUAGUCCACACCGUAAACGAUGAAUACUAGGUGUUGGAGGAUAGACCCCUUCAGUACAGCAAUUAACACAUAAAGUAAUCAACCUGGGGAGUAAGACAGCAAGAUAAAAAUCAAAGGAAUAAACGGGGGCCCGCACAAGCAGUAGAGUAUGUGGUUUAAUUAGACGCAACGCGAAGAACCUUACCAAGUCUUGACAUCCUGAGACGAUGCAGGAAACAGUAUUUUCAUUCGGGACGCAGAGACAGGUGGUGCAUGGUUGUCGUCAGCUCGUGUCGUGAGAUGUUGGGUUAAGUCCCGCAACGAGCGCAACCCUUACUGUCAGUUAAUACGCAAGAGGACUCUGGCAGGACUGCCGUUGACAAAACGGAGGAAGGUGGGGAUGACGUCAAAUCAUCAUGCCCUUUAUGACUUGGGCUACACACGUACUACAAUGGCGUUAAACAAAGAGAAGCAAGACCGCGAGGUGGAGCAAAACUCAGAAACAACGUCCCAGUUCGAACUGCAGGCUGCAACUCGCCUGCACGAAGUCGGAAUUGCUAGUAAUCGUGGAU
rnacentral:rRNA from 1 species